CAACUGUGAUGUUUAUCUCAAUGUGGAAAAUGUUUUGGUGCAUUCAUAGUUAAUUUAAGGAGAACUAACUUUACACAUUUACAGUAAUGAAAAGGAAAUGUGAAGUUAGUUCUGAGAAAAUUUCCUACAGCAUAUGCUUGCAGAUAUUUUGUCUAAAAAUGGCCACCUGUAUACUGAAUCAGACUGCAGAGGCAAAAAAGUAAUUGAAAUGCUUUAAUACCUUCGAUUCUUUAGGGGGAAAACUUUCAGGGCUCUGCUCUCAUCUUCUCAUCUUCCCUCCCAGGUUCUCUUUGAACACCCUUAUAUUUACUUUCUCUCUCUCCUGCCUUGUAUACUUGCAGCCUCUGUUCCUGUAAGUCUUAUCAAUGGGUUUUGGGUUUCUGAACAUAAUCUCUCAAUGGAAUGCAUUGUGGAGUCUGCCUGUGGAUUCAGGAUAAAUGUACUAUGAAAAAGAGUCUGCAAGCCAACCUGAUCAUCUCCAUCUUCUCUCUGGCCAUGUUGGACGUUCCUGAUGACUACAAACUGGAGCAGUAAUAGAAACCGUGUUUUUGAAACUCAAAACAUGUACAAAGGUAAUUCCACAUUAUCUGCUCUGUGACACUGAUAUUCUUGGUUUUGUUUUAAAUGGCUGACAAGCAGAUCAGGUGAGUUUUCUUUAGAGGGAAAUGGCUAAUACUCACUUUAGAGUAAAAAUAUAGUACCUUAGAAUGAAAACAUAAACUACACAAAAGCAAGAUAGUAUUUUAACAUUAAAAAUGUAAUGAGUCUUUUGAAUUACUUUUCCAUGACAAUAUAUAUAUUUUUUCGAAUAUUAUUUAAUUAAUUUUGUUCAAUUAACCCCAUAAAGCCCGCUCUAUCUAUCUAAGGCCUCUAAAUUAUCAACAUGUUCAAAACAAUUCUUAAAAAACCCUGUUGUACACAAUCUACUACAUGCCUUCUUUCAAGACUGAUAUAGGUUAUACUUUAUAGCAGGUAAAAGGUCUCUUAGUGUAAUUGUACAAACGUCCACUUUCAGCUCUCAUUUUGCUGUGAAAUCUUUACUGAUUUUUAAAAAUGUAAUCUUAAGUAUUACUUUUAUGUUGUUAGUAAUAUUUCAAAAUGAAUACUUACUUGACGGAUGCAACUGACAUUUACUUGUUUAUCUAUACAUCAUUUUUUUUUUGGUAAAAAAUCCUGUUAAAAUGUGAGUAUUCUUCAGGUUUUUGAGGAAUGUUAAUUUGUUCAUCUCACAAUCAUUGUAUUUUAUUGCAUUACAUGUUUUACCCCCACAAUAAAUACUACAGAGCUUUAAUCAAAAGUAAGCAUUUAAUAUCUUACUAAGACAUACAGAAGGACUAAGACAUAGGGAGAUACAGAAUGGCAUCUGAUAUUUAUAUGCAUUUAAACUAAUUGAUUUACAUUANAAACUGAGGUGUUUUUUCCUCCAUAUUU
ensembl:lncRNA